CAUCUCCAAGAGUUUGCCAUCUCUACUUAGCAUCCAUCUUUUUUUGGCAAAUCAAAAAAAAAAAGCCUCCAACAUUUUAGCAUCCACCUUGGCAAAUUUAGAAACUUGGCAAAUCUCACCCCCUCCGCGUGCAAAUAUACGCGCUCUCGGCAACUUGGCAUCGGCAUCUCUGCGACGGAACAGCGCGCGCGAAGGCCCGUCGCCCUCCUUCUCCCGCGCCCGCGAAGGCCCGUCGCCCUCCUUCUCCCGUGCGCGAAGGCCCGUCGCCCUCCUUCUCCCGCGCGUGCGCCCGUCGGUCUCCUUCUCCUUCUCUGCUAGAGUUCAGGUAUGUCUCCUGCUCCUCCUUCCGCCCCCUGCAUGCAAAAUCUACAGGGGGCAAACGUCGUAGCCGGACUCUCCUCUUCAAUCUGUUGCUGUGUUCUUCUAGAUUCGAAGGAAAAAUUGUAUCUGCCCUAUGGGAACCUGAUCUUGCCGUCUCCAGCAAGGCGUGCACGCCGGCAAACAAUGGUAGGGCAGGGGAGCCCUCUCGACGAGCCCCUCCUCGCUCCGGCAAUGACGGCGGCGAGGAUGCCACGAGCAUGGAGGCGCAGCACCUCCUCCGUCGCGACAAGGGAGCCUCCUUCUCCCGGAGCUGCUUCAACCUCAGCAACGUGAUCUCAGGCAUCUGCGUUCUGUCCGUGCCCUCCGCGCUGGCGCAGGGCGGCUGGAGUCCGGCGGCGGCUAAUCAGGCGACGGGGCAACGGGAGGAACGGCGCGCGACGGAACGACGACGGGAUGUGAAGCGGCAGUAGUUGAUCCGGACCCAGUAGCUGAGCAUAUGUGGGCCUGUUUUUUAAUUUUACCAAGUCUAAAUGGCAAACUCUUGGAGAUAGUCUUGUUUUUAUCUUGGCAUAUAUUUUAGCAAGUUGCCAAAUCACCAAUUUUGCCAAGUUAAUUUUAGCAAACUCUUGGAGAUGCUCUAAAUUAGAUCUGGAUUUGGCAA